GUGUGUGUGUGUGUGUGUGUGUGAUUGAGUGUGAGAGAGUGUGUGUGUGUCUGAGUGUGUGUGUGUGUGUGUGUGUGUGCCUGAGGUUCAGUUCAGUCCUAAACAGAUCGGGUCGUCUGCUGGGGUGGGGGGGUAUGUUUACACAGCUGCGCUUCACUAUAGUAGUGUGUGCGUGAGAUAAAGCGAAUCAGAUGAAAUAGAGCGUACAGAUCCACGCUUAAAUGAGGGCUCAAAUUAAUCUCGAUCUUUCCGGUCACCGCGUUUGUCUUGUCGUUCAGGUUCACGGUCGGGAUCUGACCCAUCUGCAGAAGCGAGAGGCCUUCCGUAUCCUGGCCAGCUACGAGCAGCCAAUCACGCUUCAGAUUGAGGGCCGGGGGCGGAGCCUGCAGUACAACAGGACGACGGACUGCAGCACGCAGACGGAGCGACCGUGGGACCCUCUCCGGCCGCACUCGUGCACCCUACCGCGACGGCCUCCCUCGGACAGGACGUACUACACUCACUUGACCCUCCCCGGGACCCAUAGAGACGGAAGCAGGUACGAGUACCUACCAAACACGCCCAGAGACCUGGAGCACAGAGGACGACGGGCCUGCAACGACCAUGAGUUCUCCAGCGGCGCGUCUCCGGCACAGAACUGUCUGAGCGGAUGCUGCAACAGCAACCUGGAGGAACCCAGAAGUUUCCAGAGUCAGACUGAUGACGAUGACUACAUGAUGGAGAAACCCCUGGGUUACCUGCCUCUUCAUCACGAGCUGGACAGCGGGCUCGGCUGGACGGACGGUAGCUUCCACCAGGGGGAGCUGUCGGGGGUGGAGACGGAGGAGGGGCUUGAGGAGCGCCACGGCGGGUCACCGUCAUCUGAGUCAUUCAUCUCGUCUGAACUGAGCGACUCGGGUUUUUACAGCGUCAGCACCGGCGAGUUCCUGCGCUUCCAGCGUCUGCUCGAGAAACGCAUGCGCCAUUACAACGCCCGCAUGCACCACCAGGGGGAGCCGUGCUCUCGCGAGCGGCGCGACAGCCAGAUAAAACACCCCCUAGAGGCCAUCCCAGAAACGCUGACGGUGCAGCCUCAAAACGUCUGCACGCCCAUCCAGGGAUCGCGGGUUUUGUCCGUGCAGUACCGUAAGGCGGAGCGUCCAUGUUUGAACAGGCACAGCUCCAGCAGCGGCUCGCUGUUCAAUCCCGCGCCUCAUCCGAGUUCUGCGGGAAUGCUGAGAAGAAGCAGGACGCUGCAUCACGCGCCAAUGGAGUACCGCAGACGGGCGAGUCACCCGGCCUCACCCAACUAUUGCAGGGCCACGCUGCAUCCCUGCGUCCACAGAGUCGACCUGCCCAUGAAUCUCCCUGAGGAGCCGGACUUGGCACUUAUGCACGCUAUUGCACACCCUGUUGUACACCCCACUGCACUCCCUACAAAGACUCUACACGCAAUGAGUCAACCGUCCCUGAUCUCUCCAGUUGACGAACACUGCUGCACGCCUCUGGAUCUUCACGCCAACGGCAGGAUCCGAGCAUCCACCGAACCGCUGAUAACUCCUGACUGGAUGAACCACAUAUGAGUUUGCUGUUAAAUAUGCACAAACCUGUAACAGUAUCAAUAGUAUUGAACCAUUUAAAAACUGCCUAGC
ensembl:lncRNA uncharacterized LOC107576489